rnacentral:rRNA from 2 species
CACACUAUCAUUAACUGAAUCCAUAGGUUAAUGAGGCGAACCGGGGGAACUGAAACAUCUAAGUACCCCGAGGAAAAGAAAUCAACCGAGAUUCCCCCAGUAGCGGCGAGCGAACGGGGAGGAGCCCAGAGCCUGAAUCAGUGUGUGUGUUAGUGGAAGCGUCUGGAAAGGCGUGCGAUACAGGGUGACAGCCCCGUACACAAAAAUGCACAUAUUGUGAGCUCGAUGAGUAGGGCGGGACACGUGGUAUCCUGUCUGAAUAUGGGGGGACCAUCCUCCAAGGCUAAAUACUCCUGACUGACCGAUAGUGAACCAGUACCGUGAGGGAAAGGCGAAAAGAACCCCGGCGAGGGGAGUGAAAAAGAACCUGAAACCGUGUACGUACAAGCAGUGGGAGCCUCUUUAUGGGGUGACUGCGUACCUUUUGUAUAAUGGGUCAGCGACUUAUAUUCUGUAGCAAGGUUAACCGAAUAGGGGAGCCGAAGGGAAACCGAGUCUUAACUGGGCGUUAAGUUGCAGGGUAUAGACCCGAAACCCGGUGAUCUAGCCAUGGGCAGGUUGAAGGUUGGGUAACACUAACUGGAGGACCGAACCGACUAAUGUUGAAAAAUUAGCGGAUGACUUGUGGCUGGGGGGGAAAGGCCAAUCAAACCGGGAGAUAGCUGGUUCUCCCCGAAAGCUAUUUAGGUAGCGCCUCGUGAAUUCAUCUCCGGGGGUAGAGCACUGUUUCGGCAAGGGGGUCAUCCCGACUUACCAACCCGAUGCAAACUGCGAAUACCGGAGAAUGUUAUCACGGGAGACACACGGCGGGUGCUAACGUCCGUCGUGAAGAGGGAAACAACCCAGACCGCCAGCUAAGGUCCCAAAGUCAUGGUUAAGUGGGAAACGAUGUGGGAAGGCCCAGACAGCCAGGAUGUUGGCUUAGAAGCAGCCAUCAUUUAAAGAAAGCGUAAUAGCUCACUGGUCGAGUCGGCCUGCGCGGAAGAUGUAACGGGGCUAAACCAUGCACCGAAGCUGCGGCAGCGACACUAUGUGUUGUUGGGUAGGGGAGCGUUCUGUAAGCCUGUGAAGGUGGCCUGUGAGGGUUGCUGGAGGUAUCAGAAGUGCGAAUGCUGACAUAAGUAACGAUAAAGCGGGUGAAAAGCCCGCUCGCCGGAAGACCAAGGGUUCCUGUCCAACGUUAAUCGGGGCAGGGUGAGUCGACCCCUAAGGCGAGGCCGAAAGGCGUAGUCGAUGGGAAACAGGUUAAUAUUCCUGUACUUGGUGUUACUGCGAAGGGGGGACGGAGAAGGCUAUGUUGGCCGGGCGACGGUUGUCCCGGUUUAAGCGUGUAGGCUGGUUUUCCAGGCAAAUCCGGAAAACCAAGGCUGAGGCGUGAUGACGAGGCACUACGGUGCUGAAGCGACAAAUGCCCUGCUUCCAGGAAAAGCCUCUAAGCAUCAGGUAACAUCAAAUCGUACCCCAAACCGACACAGGUGGUCAGGUAGAGAAUACCAAGGCGCUUGAGAGAACUCGGGUGAAGGAACUAGGCAAAAUGGUGCCGUAACUUCGGGAGAAGGCACGCUGAUAUGUAGGUGAAGCGACUUGCUCGUGGAGCUGAAAUCAGUCGAAGAUACCAGCUGGCUGCAACUGUUUAUUAAAAACACAGCACUGUGCAAACACGAAAGUGGACGUAUACGGUGUGACGCCUGCCCGGUGCCGGAAGGUUAAUUGAUGGGGUUAGCGGUAACGCGAAGCUCUUGAUCGAAGCCCCGGUAAACGGCGGCCGUAACUAUAACGGUCCUAAGGUAGCGAAAUUCCUUGUCGGGUAAGUUCCGACCUGCACGAAUGGCGUAAUGAUGGCCAGGCUGUCUCCACCCGAGACUCAGUGAAAUUGAACUCGCUGUGAAGAUGCAGUGUACCCGCGGCAAGACGGAAAGACCCCGUGAACCUUUACUAUAGCUUGACACUGAACAUUGAGCCUUGAUGUGUAGGAUAGGUGGGAGGCUUUGAAGUGUGGACGCCAGUCUGCAUGGAGCCGACCUUGAAAUACCACCCUUUAAUGUUUGAUGUUCUAACGUUGGCCCGUAAUCCGGGUUGCGGACAGUGUCUGGUGGGUAGUUUGACUGGGGCGGUCUCCUCCUAAAGAGUAACGGAGGAGCACGAAGGUUGGCUAAUCCUGGUCGGACAUCAGGAGGUUAGUGCAAUGGCAUAAGCCAGCUUGACUGCGAGCGUGACGGCGCGAGCAGGUGCGAAAGCAGGUCAUAGUGAUCCGGUGGUUCUGAAUGGAAGGGCCAUCGCUCAACGGAUAAAAGGUACUCCGGGGAUAACAGGCUGAUACCGCCCAAGAGUUCAUAUCGACGGCGGUGUUUGGCACCUCGAUGUCGGCUCAUCACAUCCUGGGGCUGAAGUAGGUCCCAAGGGUAUGGCUGUUCGCCAUUUAAAGUGGUACGCGAGCUGGGUUUAGAACGUCGUGAGACAGUUCGGUCCCUAUCUGCCGUGGGCGCUGGAGAACUGAGGGGGGCUGCUCCUAGUACGAGAGGACCGGAGUGGACGCAUCACUGGUGUUCGGGUUGUCAUGCCAAUGGCACUGCCCGGUAGCUAAAUGCGGAAGAGAUAAGUGCUGAAAGCAUCUAAGCACGAAACUUGCCCCGAGAUGAGUUCUCCCUGAGACUUAGAGUCUCCUGAAGGAACGUUGAAGACGACGACGUUGAUAGGCCGGGUGUGUAAGCGCAGCGAUGCGUUGAGCUAACCGGUACUAAUGAACCGUGAGGCUUAACCUU